AUUGAACGCUGGCGGCAGGCCUAACACAUGCAAGUCGAGCGAGCGUGGGGCGGGUGAGUAAUGUCUGGGGAACUGCCUGAGGGAGGGGGAUAUCUACUGGAAACGGUAUCUAAUACCGCAUACCAUCAGAUGUGCCCCGAUGGGAUUAGCUAGUAGGUGGGGUAAUGGCUCACCUAGGCGACGAUCCCUAGCUGGUCUGAGAGGAUGACCAGCCACACUGGAACUGAUACACGGUCCAGACUCCUACGGGAGGCAGCAGUGGGGAAUAUUGCACAAUGGGCGCAAGCCUGAUGCAGCCAGGCCGCGUGUGUGAAGAAGGCCUUCGGGUUGUAAAGCACUUUCAGCGGGGAGGCGUUACCCGCAGAAGAAGCACCGGCUAACUCCGUGCCAGCAGCCGCGGUAAUAC
rnacentral:rRNA from 1 species